UGGGGAAUAUUGGACAAUGGGCGCAAGCCUGAUCCAGCAAUGCCGCGUGAGUGAUGAAGGCCUUAGGGUUGUAAAGCUCUUUUCGCACGCGACGAUGAUGACGGUAGCGUGAGAAGAAGCCCCGGCUAACUUCGUGCCAGCAGCCGCGGUAAUACGAAGGGGGCUAGCGUUGUUCGGAAUUACUGGGCGUAAAGGGCGCGUAGGCGGCCUGUUUAGUCAGAAGUGAAAGCCCCGGGCUCAACCUGGGAAUAGCUUUUGAUACUGGCAGGCUUGAGUUCCGGAGAGGAUGGUGGAAUUCCCAGUGUAGAGGUNAAAUUCGUAGAUAUUGGGAAGAACACCGGUGGCGAAGGCGGCCAUCUGGACGGACACUGACGCUGAGGCGCGAAAGCGUGGGGAGCAACAGGAUUAGAUACCCUGGUAGUCCACGCCGUAAACGAUGAAUGCUAGACGUCGGGGUGCAUGCACUUCGGUGUCGCCGCUAACGCAUUAAAGCAUUUCCGCCUGGGGAGUACGGCCGCAAGGUUAAAACUCAAAGG
rnacentral:rRNA from 1 species